rnacentral:lncRNA from 11 species
CCUCAUGCAAGCUCUUUGUGCAGCUCUUUGUGAGUGAAAGUCACAUCCAUUGAAAGAUGAAGAGUUCAGCGCAAAGAUACAGAAAUGGUUGAGGAUCAGCUCAGAAUCGCUCAGCCAGCCUUGCUGGUGUCCUUGCUGUUUGCUGGAUUCUAGCAGUUGGGACUCUGAGGAUUAUAGUCAAAAGAAUUACUUUUUCCACUUUCUACUCAUGAACAGAUGUUUAAAAUGUGAACAAAAUAAAACCUCAAAGGGCAAAAAAAUCCAUGAUUAACUGCAUAUUAUAAUGGCCCCUUAAUUUCCCUAAACACCCCAACAAAAGCCAUUUUCUGCAUUUCAAAUAGGGCAGGGGAUCUAGUGGUCCUUUUCAUAGCAAGAAACCUUUCAUUCUGUUUGUUUUCUACAUGUUUUACAGGCAACUGUUUAAAAUAGUCCUGUCUUAUCUUUUACUCAUUAUUAUAGUAAUAUGUAAUUAUUUGAAUUUCUCAUCUUGAUCUAUUGUAAAUACCAUUAUUUUACUUUAUGCAUAUUACCGUUUUAUGUGUAUUACCCAUUGGGGAUGGGUAGCCAUAGCCAAAUGCUGAUUAAAAACAAAAUCUUGAUUAAAACACAAU